rnacentral:rRNA from 1 species
CAGUAGCCGCGGUAAUACGUAGGGCGCAAGCGUUAUCCGGAAUUAUUGGGCGUAAAGAGCUCGUAGGCGGUUUGUCGCGUCUGCCGUGAAAGUCCGGGGCUCAACCCCGGAUCUGCGGUGGGUACGGGCAGACUAGAGUGAUGUAGGGGAGACUGGAAUUCCUGGUGUAGCGGUGAAAUGCGCAGAUAUCAGGAGGAACACCGAUGGCGAAGGCAGGUCUCUGGGCAUUAACUGACGCUGAGGAGCGAAAGCAUGGGGAGCGAACAGGAUUAGAUACCCGAGUAGUCCCUGUCUCUUAUAC